UAAAUAGUAUGAUAUUCUUGCAUAAUACUACAGGGAAAUUGCUCCGUUGUCUCUUAUUUUACAGGUUUCAUUUUCUUUUUGUUUUCUUUCUAUUUAACUCAAUAUCUUCUUCUUCUUUUUUUCCAAUUUACCUUCUCAUCCUUCACCAAUUAUCACACUAAAUUUAUGCUUCUAAAAAGAGUUAUAAUUUUUUUUUCUUUUAGUAACUCCACAUAUCAUUUUAACACUGCAUGCUCCCCAUCCUUUGCAAAUAAGAAUAAUGCAAAAUAUGGUGUGUUAGUAAUGCUUGUGUUAGCUAUGUUUGCAUUAUUUAUGCUUGUAUUUUUCUUAUGCAGUGUUUGAUUUGAUGUAUUAAAAAUAACAUGAAUUAAAUAAUUUCUAAUUUUUUUUAAAUUUUUACAAAAAUAUCCUCCCUAUAUAUAUUGGAAAGGAUGUGAAAUUUUUUUUUAGCGAUAAUGGUGUCUUUAAUCAUGUUAAUGCAUGUAUUGGAUCCAUUGCAUUGCUAAUACCAUGGAUUUUGAGGUAUUAUUAAUACACACUUCAAUACAUAAUUGAGUGUAUAAGCAUUAGUUAUACAUAGAGUGCAAAAAUAUACCAAACAAGUUAUUAAUAAUACACAUUAAACUAAUGCAUCUUAGUACUUUUAAAGUUUUCUUUUUCUUCUCUCCCUUCGUUUUUCUUUUUAUUUGUUUCCAUUUAAUUUAAUGUUUUCUUGCUUUAUUUUACAGUUUGCCUCAUUUGACUUAUUGAGAAGACGAAAGAAGUCACGGAUCAUCAGCUGGACAAAUGCACAGUUAGUUAAUAAUGAACUCACUUCACAAAGUUAGUUAAUAGGAUCACAGUUAAUUGAUCAGUGGAGCUAACUCACCUACCACUAAUCCACCAGCUAAUCCACUAGUACUAACUCUAUAUAUACUCGUCUAUACUCAUUUAAUCGUCAUGAUGAAUAAUACUAAUCACUUGACAACUACAUUGUUCUCUCCUUUCUCUCUCUUCUUCUCUCAUUCUCUAUCACUUCUUCAUCAUCAACUACUCUACAUUUCUCAGUUUCUGAGUUUCUCUGUAGGUGUUCUUAGCUGCUCAUUUAGCCUAAUGCAUCUCCAACUCGUUCCCACUAUACCAUGGACACCCGAAGCUGAUAUACCACAUAAAUUUUAGAGGUGUCUAGAUGAUCAUUUUGUUAGUUGACGUGUUCUGCAGAUAGUGGAACGAGUUGAGGUGUUCAGAUAUACAUUCAUAAAGUUGACGUACUUAAAUGCCAGCUAAGACCAUGUUUGAGUGUUUGUUUAUAUAUUACUAUUUAUAUAUUAUUUCAAGUUCAAACCAUUUUUUGCCAUAUAGAUUUGUGCUAUAUUUAGUUUUCUAAUGUAGUCAUUGACUUUUUGUUGUUUGUAUGUCAGGUAAGAGCAUUGACCAAAGAUCACAAAAUCUCAGAAAAUUAAGGAUCGAACUACAAUAUCAAAAUGGUUCUUGCACCACUGGCGGACUGUAUGCAUCUUAAAUGCUUAUUAUUAGUUUUACUGGUGAGAGGUAGUAGGUAUCCUAAGAAAUUAGUCAAAAGGUAUGCAAACUGGUGUAGAUAUUACAAUUAUCAAAAACAGGCAAGAUAUAGGAAAAGAAUAUAAAUAUGUAUGUAGAACCUUGAGUAUGGUCCUAUAUAUAUCAAAAUAAAUGGAAGUGACAAUUAUGAGGCAAAACUUGUACUUUGCACACACUAACAGUUGAUCUUUCUACAUUUUUAUCCUUUUAUUUUGUGGAUGAAGUAAUAGUCGAAUUUUUAAUUUUUUAUAACUGUUGUGAGUAUUGAGUUAAGAAACGGCAGUUUGGUGCACUAAAGUGCCCUGCGAUGUGCAUUAUUCGGGGAAGGGUUGGACCAUAAGAGUCUAUUGUAUGCAAUCUUACCUUGCAUUUCUGCCAAAGACUAUCUCUACAACUUGAAUCCAUGACCUCCUAAUCACACGACAACAACUUUACCAGCUAUUCUAAAGGCUUCCCUUCUGUUGAGUAUGUUGAGAAAUGAUUCCAGAAGAUACUUGACCAAGUCUACAGGAAGUUAGUUGCUAGUUAGUUUCCUUUAUUCUAGCAAUUUUAGAUAGUGUUGUAGAUUAGUAGCUAGUCAAUAAAUCAGUGGGUUAGUGGACCUAAAUUUUAGAGUUUUCAGUUUAGUUGUGAGCCGAUUUAAAGGCAGGUCU
rnacentral:lncRNA from 1 species